rnacentral:misc_RNA from 1 species
GAUGAAGAACGCAGCGAAAUGCGAUAAGUAAUGCGAAUUGCAGAAUUUCCGUGAGUCAUCGAAUCUUUGAACGCACAUUGCGCCCAUUGGUAUUCCGAUGGGCAUGCCUGUUCGAGCGUCAUUAUCUUCCCUCAAACCUCGCGUUUGGUGUUGGGCCGUGCUGGUUCCUGCGUGACCAACUGGCCUCAAAGACAAUGACGGCGUCCGUGGGACCCUCGAUGCAACGAGCUUCUCAGGAGCACGCGUCGAGUUUCAAGGACCUUCCGGGCCGGUCUCUCCUCAUAUUAUUACAAGGUUGACCUCGGAUCAGGUAGGGAUACCCGCUGAACUUAAGCAUAUCAUAAGCGGAGGA